GACGAACGCUGGCGGCGUGCCUAACACAUGCAAGUCGAGCGGGGUUGAGGCGAGAGGUAACUCGAGCUUCUACCUAGCGGCGGACGGGUGAGUAACGCGUGGGCAACCUGCCUCAAGGUUUGGGAUAACAGCCCGAAAGGGCUGCUAAUACCGGAUAUGCCUAUGGCCUCGCAUGGGGCUAUGAGCAAAGGGGAAACCCGCCUUGAGAUGGGCCCGCGUCCCAUCAGCUAGUUGGUGAGGUAACAGCUCACCAAGGCGACGACGGGUAGCCGGCCUGAGAGGGUGACCGGCCACACUGGGACUGAGACACGGCCCAGACUCCUACGGGGGGCAGCAGUGGGGGAUCUUGCACAAUGGGCGAAAGCCUGAUGCAGCGACGCCGCGUGAGCGAAGAAGGCCUUCAGGUUGUAAAGCUCUGUCUGGAGGGACGAACAAAAAUGACGGUACCUCCGGAGGAAGCCACGGCUAACUACGUGCCAGCAGCCGCGGUAAUCAUACUCGUAA
rnacentral:rRNA from 1 species